UCUAUAACCCUUUGUGAACAUACCUACAACUGUUGCUUCGGCGGGUAGGCCGUCCCCUGAAAAGGACGCCUCCCGGCCCGGACCGGACCCCCCGCGGGACCGGACCCGGCGCCCGCCGGAGGAUAACCAAACUCUAUUGUAACGACGUUUCUUCUGAGUGGCAUAAGCAAAAUAAUCAAAACUUUUAACAACGGAUCUCUUGGUUCUGGCAUCGAUGAAGAACGCAGCGAAAUGCGAUAAGUAAUGUGAAUUGCAGAAUUCAGUGAAUCAUCGAAUCUUUGAACGCACAUUGCGCCCGCCAGCAUUCUGGCGGGCAUGCCUGUUCGAGCGUCAUUUCAACCCUCAAGCUCUGCUUGGUGUUGGGGCUCUACGGUCGACGUAGGCCCUCAAAGGUAGUGGCGGACCCUCCCGGAGCCUCCUUUGCGUAGUAACAUUUCGUCUCGCACUGGGAUCCGGAGGGACUCUUGCCGUAAAACCCCCCAAUUUUCCAAAGGUUGACCUCGGAUCAGGUAGGAAUACCCGCUGAACUUAAGCAUAUCAAGGAGGCGGGAGAGGA
rnacentral:rRNA from 1 species